rnacentral:lncRNA from 1 species
CUAGACACAGAGUGGCUGAAAAGCAGGAAAUAGAACUGCCAAACCAGCUUAUGAAGAUUUCUAUUAAUACAGAAAUUAAUAGAAAUACAGAUGCAUUCUUAUGAAGACUAUUCCAGGGAAAUCACAACGUGUCUCAAUGCUCAUUGUGGUCACCAUAAUUGAUAAGGGAUACACAAACCACUGUGUCCAAAGGCUUAAAGGGGACGCAGACCUUCCGCACAACAACAACAAAACCAGCGCGCUCGCGGCCGGCGCCUCGGCUCUGGUCCCCGCC